rnacentral:rRNA from 1 species
UACGAAGGGGGCUAGCGUUGUUCGGAAUUACUGGGCGUAAAGCGCGCGCAGGCGGCUAUCCAAGUCAGUGGUGAAAGCCCGGAGCUCAACUCCGGAACUGCCAUUGAAACUGUUUAGCUUGAGGAUGAGAGAGGUGAGUGGAAUUCCCAGAGUAGAGGUGAAAUUCGUAGAUAUUGGGAAGAACACCGGUGGCGAAGGCGGCUCACUGGCUCAUUACUGACGCUCAGGCGCGAUAGCGUGGGGAUCAAACAGG